UCUUGUAAGAAGCCCUGGAGUCCACUGCUGGGCACAGAAUGUUGGUCAGGGUUCCCUUUGUUUGGCAGUGUGGUGCCAAACAAACUUGACCCCUCUCUCUCGGACUUUGCUUGGCUUUUCUUUCACCACCUGUUACCUCAUUUCAUUCCGAAUUCCUGUUGGUUUCUGCGCUGGAAUCCCUGGUUUUCCUCAAGUGUGGAAAAUACAGCACUGAUGAGAUACCAGUUGCUUUUCAGUGGUAAACUGCCAGACUGGAACUGCUCCCGGUUCAGGGCGCCUUGAGUCCGUGGCGCCACCUGCUGUUCCCGCGGCGCCAGCGCAGCCUGCGAGGCCGUCCCAGCUCUUUCCUCUGCGCGAGGGAGACUCCGGGGCUACGCAGAGCUUCUGGGAGCCGGUGGCAAGGCUGAAUUGGGAUGCAAACCAAAUACACGUGGGUGAGUGGCAGAAAAAGCCUCCCACAGAUGGGAGGGAUUUCGGAGGGAACCGAAAGAAAGUUGAGAUGAGGCCUUGGCUGUGUUGCCCAGGCUGGAGUGCAGUGGCUAUCCACAAGUGCAAUCAUAGUGUACUGCCAUCCUCUAACUCCUGACCUCAAGCAAUUCUUCCAUGUUGGCCUCCCAGGUAACUGGGAAUAUAGGCACAAGCCUCUGUGCCCAGCUCUCAUUUUCACUGAGCUUUUUCCACCAGGAUGCCUCAUGGGUCAGUGUCCACCCUGGUUCAAUCACCUGUGGCUAGGGGAUAGGUCUGUGGCUUCACCAUACGCUGUCUUGGAUCACUCACUCUUGGGAAACCAGCCACCAUGUUAUGAGGACACUCAAGUUCUCUGUGGAGAGAUCCAUGUGAUGAGGAACUGAGGUGUCCUGCCAACAGCCAGAACCAACUUCCCAGUCAUGAGUGGCAUCUUGAAAGUAGAUCUUCCCGCCCAUAGUCAAACCUUCGGUUGGUUUAUCCCCAGCUGAGGGUUUUUUUGAAACCUUCACCCUGACUGCAGCCUCAUGAGAGACCCUGAUCCAGAAUUUCCCAGCUAAGCUGUGCCUGACUUCCAGACUCACAGAAACUGUAAGAGAUAAUAAAAGUUUAUUGUUUAUUUAGGCCACUAAAUUUUACAGGAAUUAGUUGUGUGGCAAUAGAUAACUAAUACUGGGUGGGUGUUGAGAAGAAUAGACAUAACUUGCAUGGUCCCUGGUGAAAUGUUACAAGAUCCUCAAGCAAAGGAAGAUUAGUUUCUUAGACACAGAAGGAGGUGCUCCUGCUUUCUAUGAAAAAGAGGCUCAGAAAGACAGGGGCUGAGGGUUUUCAGCGUCAUCUGAGUCCACCCACAUAUCCUUAUUUUAUAUCCAGGGUCCCACUCUUUCCUAAUCAAUGCCUUAACAUAUGAGACUGACAAUUCAACUUAAGUUGUGAUUCAGUAACUCACAAUUAGGUUUUGCAUUCGGUUUUUGUCAGGAUAGUCUCUGCAGUUAUAAGAAAUAAUAAUUAAAGCUCUCUGGUUCUCUGACCAUGACUUCAGGUGAGCAUUAAAGCCUUGAAUUUGUCAUUUUCUUAGUCUCUUCAGUGCAGGUAGAUAUAGCUGUCCCUCUAUACGGUCCUUGAAGUCAUUGUCAUACCUUUAACAGUCAAGUGCAGCAGCCACUUGGUCUCCAAGGCAAUUGCUUCAGUAGGCAAUCUAUCAUGAUCAAUUGUGGGUGAUAAUUUGAUUAAUUAUGAUUCCACUACCUACUAUGGGUUACUACUACUAACAUCCCAUUUCUCAAACACUCCACAACUGCAUUUAAGGCCAAGUUCAUGACAAAAGCAAUCCCAGAAUGCUAUCUGAAGACCAUUUUCUGGGAUCACUCUUGAUAUUAAAUAUUGGAUCGGUCAGAGUCAAGUCAGGGAAAAAAGGUUGUAUUAGUUUUCUCUAAAUUAAAUUAUCUCUUUCAAAGGGACCUAAAGGCAAAGAGGGAACACAGAGGUAUCAAAAUGCAGUAUCUGCAGAAAGAUACAGUACCCUUAGUGCUUGCUAUGGUUUAAAUGUAUGUGUCCUUCCAAAAUUCAUAUGUUGGAACUUAACCCCCAAAGUGAUGAUACUGAGGUGGGCCCCUUAGGGGAUAAUUAGGUUAGAGGGUUCCACCCUUAUAGAUGGGAUUAGUGCCCUUAUAAAAUGGCUUCAGGGAGAGAGUUCAUCCUUUUUUGCCUUUCUGUCCCUUCUGCCACAUGAAGGCACAGAAGUGUUUGUGCCCUCCAGAAGACACAGCAGCAAGAUGCCAUCUUGGAAGCAGAGAGUGAGCCCGCACCAGACACCAAAUCAACCAGCAUCUUGAUGUUGGACUUAGCAGUCUC